rnacentral:misc_RNA from 1 species
GAUGAAGAACGUAGCGAAAUGCGAUAAGUAAUGUGAAUUGCAGAAUUCAGUGAAUCAUCGAAUCGUUGAACGCACAUUGCGCCCCUUGGUAUUCCGAGGGGCAUGCCUGUUCGAGCGUCAUUAUAACCCCUCAAGCUCAGCUUGGUGUUGGGGCCUGCUGCACUGGCAGCCCUUAAAAUCAGUGGCGGCGCCAUCUGGCUCUAAGCGUAGUAAUUCUUCUCGCUAUGGAGUCCUGGUGGAUGCUUGCCAUCAACCCCCAAUUUUUCUAUGGUUGACCUCGGAUCAGGUAGGGAUACCCGCUGAACUUAAGCAUAUCAAUAAGCGGAGGA